rnacentral:snRNA from 1 species
UUUGCUUGUCAGCUUUUUGGCUAAGAUCAAAUGUACUAUCUGUUCUUAUCAGUUUGAUUGUCUGAUACAUCCUCUAUCUGAGGACAGUAUAUUAAAAAAACAAAAAAUGACCCUGU